rnacentral:rRNA from 1 species
UGCGCAGGCGGCGGCUCAAGUCAGGUGUGAAAUCCCCGGGCUUAACCUGGGAAUUGCGCUUGAAACUAGGUUGCUAGAGUGUGGCAGAGGGGGGUGGAAUUCCACGUGUAGCAGUGAAAUGCGUAGAGAUGUGGAGGAACACCGAUGGCGAAGGCAGCCCCCUGGGUCAACACUGACGCUCAUGCACGAAAGGCUGGGAGCAAACA